GUUUACAUCUGGAUCCUUUGAAAUCCAAGACGAAACUCGUGUAAUAACGAACUAUUGUAUGAUAUUUGACAGGUAGCAAUAUCCACGCCUGAAAGACUCGCUACCUAAUGAAUUGCAUUCACACUCUCUAAAAGGCAUGAUGUUACCUAUGUUCCGAUACUUAUUACAACCAUCCGCCAUCAGUCUAACGGUGAAGUCUCUGAAUUGUAAUCUACAUCCAAAGUUUUCAGAACAGUGGUCAAAUGCCAAGCGUUUUGAAAUACCGUUUACGCUGCAUUCACCAAAUGUGUACGACAAAUUGUAAGUAAGCUAUUUGCAUACAUUAAAUGGUCACCUAACUCAAAAUGUGUUCUUUACAACCGAUUAAAUUUUUGUAUCGAAAUAUGCAAGAAAUUAAUCAAAACACACUCUUUUCAAGAGCAAUAGAUCAUAUCCAAAUGAGAAUGCUAUAAAUUUUCGUGGAUUCAAACUUUUAUGCCACCACGACCGACUAUAGUCGGGGGCAUUUUGUUUUGUCUUGUCUAUUUGAAAAAACAACCUUGCUCAUAAGUUUUGAAUGGUAAGUGAUAGGGAAUUUAUGUGCACUUUCCUUGUGACAAAACCUUUUUGGUACCAAAGUUCUUAGCCUUGUGACAUACUUUGAAGAAAAUACAACCUAUUCGAUAU